AGACAACAAAAUGUUUAAUAUUAUUUUGUCACCUUAGGUCGAUCGGUAUCUCACAUUCUUAAUUUAUUAAGGAUUUCAUUUCCUAAGUUUUUCUAGGUCACACCCAUUUUUUCCUGGGCCAUUAGCUCAGGUGGUUAGAGCGCACCCCUGAUAAGGGUGAGGUCCCUGGUUCAAGUCCAGGAUGGCCCAUAUCUCUAUGUUGGGGGUAUAGCUCAGUUGGUAGAGCGCCUGCUUUGCAAGCAGGAUGUCAGCGGUUCGAGUCCGCUUACCUCCACUGAUUACCACCUCUUCCAUAAAUCUGUGAGAAAGGAAAAUUUUUUGUGUUGUGACCAUAUUCUGAACGAAUCUAGCUUCCUAAUGAAAUCAUUAAGAUGCUGGACUCAUUGAAUUAUUUUCAUUGUUUUCAGAGAACCUUGACAACUGCAUAGAUUAUUUUUUAAAGACAAUAAGCAUCUUUUAAUGAUGCAGAUUUAUUAUUUGUGCGAGUGCAUUAAUAACAAUUCUAUUAAGUUGAUGCUUCAAUUUUGAAGAUAUU
rnacentral:tRNA from 1 species